UCCCUGAUGGUCCAGUGGUUAAGACUUCGCCUUUCAAUGAAGGAGAUGCAGGUUUGAUCCCUGGUCAGGGAG
rnacentral:tRNA from 1 species